rnacentral:rRNA from 1 species
GACGAACGCUGGCGGCGUGGUUAGACAUGCAAGUCGAACGAGAAGCUCCCUUCGGGGAGUGGAGAGUGGCGCACGGGUGAGUAACACGUGAGCAACCUGCCGGGAAGCCCGGGAUAGCCCUCCGAAAGGAGGAUUAAUACCGGAUGUGGCCACCCUGCGAUUGCAGGUGAAGCUAAAGGAUUUAUUCACUUCCCGAGGGGCUCGCGGCCCAUCAGCUUGUUGGUGAGGGUAACGGCCCACCAAUGCGACAACGGGUAGCUGGUCUGAGAGGAUGGUCAGCCACACUGGAACUGAGACACGGUCCAGACACUUACGGGUGGCAGCAGUCGAGAAUCAUUCGCAAUGGGGGAAACCCUGACGAUGCGACGCCGCGUGGAGGAUGAAGGCCUUAGGGUUGUAAACUCCUGUCAAGAGGGAAUAAGCAAGUGAAGGUACCUCUAGAGGAAGGGGCGGCUAAUUCCGUGCCAGCAGCCGCGGUAACACGGAAGCCCCGAGCGUUGUUCGGAUUCAUUGGGCGUAAAGGGUGCGUAGGCGGCGCGGAAAGUCCGGCGUGAAAGGCAGGGGCUCAACCUCUGGACUGCGUUGGAUACUUCCGUGCUUGAGGACUGGAGGGGAGACUGGAAUUCACGGUGUAGCAGUGAAAUGCGUAGAUAUCGUGAGGAAGACCGGUGGCGAAGGCGAGUCUCUGGACAGAUCCUGACGCUGAGGCACGAAGGCUGGGGGAGCGAACAGGAUUAGAUACCCUGGUAGUCCCAGCAGUAAACGAUGUGAGCUUGAUGUGGGGGGAUU